UCAUGGACAGUUGCAGUCGCUAAAGGCAGCAUUGUGGGCUCCUCUAAGUAGACACAGCCACAGUCCCCUUGAUAAAGCCACAAUGGAAAACAAAUCUCUGAGGGAUCUUAAUCAUUCCCAGCCAAGCCUACCUCAUCUUUCUCUCUCUCACAUGAAAAGAGGUAGCAGAAUAAAUAGCUGCAGAGGCAGAUGGAUAUCUGUUCAUAUCUCUUCUGGACUGAGACUGCUAGUGUAAUCAAAAUGCCUAUGAUGUGGCACUGUACCAACUGCUGGAACAAAGCGCUUAAACAAGGGAGUAUUUAGUGCUUUGUAUAGCACACUACAACUGGCACUCCCUCUUCAUCUUCAAAACCAUGGAUAUGCACACGCUAAAGUUCUUCAUAGCUUCACAGUGUAGCACAGGAAGGCUGUUGAAAGCACUCCAACGCCUCAGAUGUGCAACGUGAGAAGGCAAAUGAAAUUAUGGAGACCUGAUAAUGCUCUGGUAGCAGCACAAGUUCCUGAAUGCCUGGCCCAUGAGCAUCAUUGCAUCAACUCAGUUUCACGUAUCCUAGAGCAUGUAAGAAACUAGCACUUCCCACCUAGCACUAUUUUAGUGUAGAACCACCAUCCUCCUUUCCUUUGGCUUGUUCACAAGAUGUGACAAGCAGAAAAACCUGAGUGACUCCAUGCUCUCAGCAGCGUCAGCUGGCCAAAUGUGUCUGCGCACACACAAUAAUGUUUUGGCUGUUGCAGUUACUCAAGCAGAGGCUCGGCUGCCCUGCUCCACUGAACAUAGAAAAGCCCUGUGUUUAAAAAGUUGGGGAGAACUGGCCCAAUAUUAACCCAAAGGAAAGACAGCAUCUUUACUACAAACAGCAAUUCAGCCCAUGCUGCCAACUGUCUAUUUCACAGGAUGUAACAGGGCUGACAGGGCAGUGACCCUUUAGUCACUGGAGCAAAAAUAUCACAAUUACUGCAAUAGUGAGAAUGAAGAGUCUGGGUCUACGAGUUUUUCCCUAUUUUUGUCACUGACCUAUUGAGAACAGUUUUGUACGUCUUAUUCUAUCCCACUGAUAACAAGGAGAAAAAUAACCAACAAACUACUGACUUGAUGCUUCCAAAAUAUGACUGGCUGAUGAACUUCUGCUCUCAACAGUGACAGGACUGUCUGCUUUGCUCCUCUGAAGUGAGAACGGGUAGCUUCUUGUGCAACUGCAGUGUCAGCGUAACCCGUCUGAUCUAACCCAGGCCUGCCGUGCUCAAAUGCUCUGCCUCCCAGGUGCACCAGGUGAGAGAACUAUAAAAAACAAAGUUCCCACCUGGAGAAUCUCUUCACUGUACUUGCAGGAAAUAAAAGACAGUCUGGAUUUAGAAAGCCAAUCAGUUCUAUGAACAGACAUAUAAGGAUGUAAGUCAAUAUAAUCAAAAAUUUUAAAAAGAGAAUCCAUAAUGCAUUGGAAAUGAAACAAAACAAAACAAAACAAACAAACAAACAAAACAGGUGUGAUACACCAAAGAGCAGCAUCUGCCCAAAAGAAGAGAGAAAUGCUACCCAUGAAUUUGCAGCAACGUAUGCAGUUCCCAGCUGAUGCUGUUGUGGGGGAAGCAACUCCUGGCAGGCAAUCCCAAUGACCUUGUCUGAGCCCAAGCCAAAAUUUCACACUGAUUUAUUACAUGCAUUUAUGUAGUAUAAAUCUGUACUAUCUGAACUGGGAACAAUAUGUGCCUAAAAAUAAAAAAGUCACACCAUAUGUCUUGUGUUAAUCCAUGGGUUAAGUCUACCCACUUGUUGCUUGGAGAGUGUAAAUAAAACAGGAAACAGAUCUACAGACAAGGUAAGGUGGGGCUGUACUUGCCCAAAGAAACAACUGACAAAGAACAUUUUGAUUUUGCAAUGAAGGCUGUAAUAUGGGAAUUGGUUGAUUUUAAACAUAAAUUCAUUUUGGAAAGGAUUGAUGAGAUUCUAGAAGAGAGCAUCUUAACACAUCCACAAGGUGAUAUCUAGCACUUUUUCCUCACGUCUUCCAAGAAAGAAAGAACAGGUGCACAAAUUUGUAUGAAUAUUUAAGCAGAGUUAUGAAGAGACGAAGGGAACUGAUUAGAGAAAAGUGUUCAGCAAGCAAAGGUCUUAAAUAUAUAAAACCUUCCAGAGGAAAUCCAGAAAAUUAGAUAAGUAUCACAGAGAAACAUUUAUACAAAGCCCAGCCAUCAUUUGUCUUUAAUUUUUCAACUGCUUCCAAAUUCAAGAACUGCCUGCCUAAGCAACACAUACAAGAGCUAAACUGAGAGCUGCUUAGAUACUGUGUCAGUCUGCCUUGAUGACUCCACUCACAGAAGGUACAUGGAGAGACCAUUUGAGUGUUAUUGUAAAAUUAGGGUAGAAUGCCUCUGGCAGUACCCUUCCCACCAAAACUAUGCAUACCAAAUACACAAAGCAAACAAUAGGAAAAUAAUGGCAUAGAAUGGUAUUUCCACAAGAAGACAGCAAAUUGUUAAGUACAGGAGAAAAAAGUUCUAAAUCCAGAAUACAUGCCUGUUAAUCAAAAUUACUCAUGUACUUUAGCACUCUAGAAAUUAAUAGACGCUUGCAAGCAUUCCAGUUUGUUGGUGGUGGAUUUUCUUAGGCAUAAUAGAUAAGGUACUGCAGAUUCAAUUGCAAGCAGUGACCUAUUUCACAUAGACUUAAAUGACAGGGAGCCUUUUAUUCUAAACACUGCACCUGGAUUCCAGCCAAUCCCUCAAUGAAACAUAUAAUUGGAUAACUGUAGGUUAUAGGUUUAGUAGUAUUCAAGCAAUCCUAUUCUAUUUAUAAAGGAAACAGUUUUCCUGACCUUUAAAUCUAGCUACAAAUAAAAGAGCAAUUAUUUCUCAAUAAUUAAAUGUCUUAAAAUUUUGAAAAAGAAAUAAAUUCACAGUUCUUAUUUUUCCUAGAUUUCAAAAACUUUUCUAACUUAACAACUUCCCAUGCAUCUGCCAAACCACCUUGCCUUCUGCGUCUACCCUUCAAAAAGUAAGAUUCUCUGAGGUGGGGCUCUUUAUUUGUAAAUGGGGUGGAAAAGCACUCAUGGCAUUGUAAGUGUAACAGAUUUUGCAACCAAAAAAAAAAAAAAAAGGCAAAAGAGGGAGACCUUAUCUAAAGUUGUGGUUAGAAAGCCUGUCUAAGAAAAGAAACAAAAAGAAGUCCAUUCUCACAUUAUUUUCUUGAUUUUUUUUUCUAGAAAAGAGUUGGGUUUUUAUAUAUAUAAUAGAAAUUAUAAUUCUUGUAAUUCUUGAAAUUUCAGAGAUUGAGCUGAAAAUAACAGCCUUUCACCUAUCCUUUCCUGAUUAGGAGGUAAAGAAGCACACCCUUUUCAGCACUUCUAUUCUACUUCUUGCUAGCUGAUGAGAUGUUUAAGCAAUACCUGUAAGAGCAUCCCUUUCCUCCCAUCUAUGCAGCAGGUAGUUUUUGCACAGCCUGUUUUUACUCUGUGCUCAGAACAGUCGGUUACCAACUCUACAGGUGCUCUGCCUGGGAAAUGAGAUGGAGAACACCCUCUAGAGAUCCACAAGAUAGGUAGCCAUUGUCUGCCUUGGGAAAAACAUUUGAUCGAGAAUUCCUGUGGGGCUUUUUCAGCCUUCUUUUUUUUCUUUAAAUGAUGGAGCUGAGCUGAAAGUCUUUUCACCCCUUGAUAGAAUUGCUUGAAACCCUUGAUAGAAUUGCUCAAACUGGAAUUCUGGACAUACAAGAAUGUUAACCAUAACUUCACUACUUUUAUCACUGUUGUCUAUAGUCAACAAUUUCUUUUUUUAUAUCAGGAAAUUUAGUCCGUCACUUCUCUGAAAAUAGAAGAGACCCUCAACUGCUAUAAAUCUGCAUAACAACUGCAGAUCUGCGCUGACCUUUUUCUAUCAUUACAGUAUACUGAAAUCAACACCAUUAUUCUUUAAAUCAUCCUACCCAAAUAGAUGUAUUUCUAAUACAUAUUAUAUAUGUAUGAGUCAUGAAGAUGAACCACCCUUAUCCUCCUCUUUGGUGUUUGUUAUGCAGAAUUGAAACAUACACACUAGAGUAAAUCAGUAUCAACAGCUGAGCGCUGGCCACCACAACCACCAGCACUAUCUGUUUAUUCGUGAGGAGCAUCAGCAACACUGGCAGAAUAGUUUGGUCUUAUAUUGCUCAACAAAUCAAUACAAGCACGCCAAAAUAAUCUCUUCAUGGGUAUUUUGCUUACACAAAUAUUACAUUUUUGAAAUAGAUGUAUUUACCUUGUGCUGUAAAAAUGUAAUGGGAAAUGAGAUAAGGAGCACAAAACAAUGCAAACCUAUCUAUGCGCACACAAAACUUCUUAUUCCUCAUUACAAAACGAAUCUCAAAGCCCAAAAGUCUGAAGGAUAACUUUAAAAAUCAGUCCCCUGUGCUCUGCUGUGUUUCAGGACGAACAGAACUAUGAAAGACUAAAAAGAAGCUAGGAAUCUCUUACAAAAUGCAACUUAUGAUCAACGAAGCUAUUUAUUUUGUAAAACCUGUUUCCAAAUACUGAGUUAGGCUGCAAAUAAAAAUUCAUUUGAAUCAGUUAAUCAUCACUGCUGCAUCACUCCCCAAAGACAAGCAGCCACCACAUUCCAGUGCAGCUGGCUGCCUGAUUAGGGGGGGAGACAGGAGAAGGGGUUAUUGCAGGGCACAGCUGAGAGGCACUAAAAAAAAAAAAAAAAACCACGAAUUCUGGCUCAACUUUCCCUUUACCCUGAUAUUGGUGAUGUUUUGGCAAAUGACCUUGUCACUGUAUUUUAUCUCCAUUAUUCUAUACUUCUUAUCAGUAAACACGUAUUGCCAAAUAAUUUUACUUCAUACAGAUUUACUUAAACUAAAAAAAAAAAAAAAGAAGGACUUUAGUUGAUAUUUCACCUGUAACGUUAAUUAAGAAACAAAAUCUUCCCAAAGAACUUGCUAUUUAAUGUAAUGCAAUAGAAACCAAGCACAGGUAAAUGUUAUGUCAGCAAUUUCUGGCACAAUUUGAGUUUGGGUACCCAUCCUAAGCACCUUUUUAAUAGCACUUUAAGUGCUAGAUCCCUGCAGUCUGCAGUGACCAUAGCUGGUGGGGGUGCUCAGCAUUACCCAAGACCUGAAGUGAAAUAAUAGAGUUCCUGUUGGAAUAUACAAAUCAAUAUUUAUUCAAACUUACGAGCUAAGCAUCCCUGAAAUGCCAGAUGAGAAUAAAAAUUUGUAUUCAUGGCUUCAGGAAUAUUAAAGUGAUGAGGUUCUUCCUUGAGGGUGCUGAGGAAAAGUUUUUUCAUAACAGUAAGAUAUUUAAGACAACACAAUACACCAGAAAAGCAAGAAUGAAUUAUUUCUCUUAUAUAUUGUGGAUAUUCUACAUUUAAACUUGAAACAGGACUUAGUUUUCCUCAAAACUAUCCUAGGUCUUUAGCAAGAUUUUUAAGGACUCUAUAAAGCAUGAAUUCCGUGUGAAAAUACAUUGGAUUGUGGUAAGAUUAUGGCCCUGUACAGCCCUUUAUGAAUAUUAUACAGGCACAAAAAAUACUAUCAAAAAAAGCUUGUCAGUAUUGCUUUGAUUGUAUUUAUGGUAUAGAAAAGAAAUUUUGACAAAGGCUUGUAAUUUUUAAGGAAGAUAAAUAGUUUUAGUUAAGUAGAUUUGCAAAGCUCCAUGAAAUCUGCUUACAACAAUCUUUCCAUGCUGAGCAGCAGGACUAUGCAGAAUGCUCAGUAUCCAUGGGCCUGUUAUUAUUGCUGCAAAACAAGUAAAAAUAUUAGAAAAUAAAAUAAUAGAUAGCACUUGGUUGUCAGAAUGUAAAUGACAUUUUUAAUUAUAGUAGGUUAGAUUCUGAACUCUGUUAUAUCCACACGAUCACCACUUCCUCAGGAGUGCACAUCCACUCAGAUUUGCAACACUGCAAAUGAGUUUAAAAUCUUGAGUAAUAUGUGCAUUAAUUUAAACGUUCAGAUUAACUGAAGUAUGCCAUAGUGCAGCCAUUGCAUAGUUUGUUGUAUCCAUAAUUCUGUUCUUGCUGACUGUUAAUUGGCUAAUACAGUAUCUCAGAGAGAAUUUUGCAUUUCAGCUUGUGUCAAAUGAGAUCUCAUCAAUGGGAAAAUGCUACAAUAUCUCCUCUCCCUCCUUCCACCCCCCAAAUACGUUUAAAAGAGAGCCAUUAAUAAUGCCUUCUUAUCCUAACACUGCAGUGCAUACAAGGAGAAACUAACCGCCAGCUCACAGUAAGUAAGUAUAAAAUUCAGGAGAAAUAGUAGUUAAGGAGUAGACAAGCAAAAGCCUGCAAUGGAUUUUUAUUAUUAUCCCAAACACGAACCAGCUGCAUUGCCAUCCCCCCAGCUAGCCAUUGCUAUAAGGUUUCACAUUCCAGGCACUGCUGGGCCAAACUUCUGAACUCCUUCACUUUUCUUGACACCAAGCCUCCACAAGGGACCACGAGCUUUCCUAACUUCAUUGCAUUUCUUCACUUGGGGAUAUGCUUGUUUGCCAUAUGGUUACACUCUGCAGGACCAAGAAACAGAGGCAGCUGAGCAGGCUGGUUCUGAUGCCCUGAUCCAGCAGAGGACCUGUGCAAGUCUCUCCCUUCAGCCAAGGCAGCAGCCCAGCAGACAGCCACUGGGCAGAAAAUUGAGUAGGUGAUGGGUCCUUCACUAAGUCAGGGCUCAGCAGUCUGAGCCAGUACAGCAAACUGCACUGGAGGAACUGAGGUCACGUUUAAGCUCACUUCCAAAAAACAGUACAUUGUAUGUAAAGGAAAAAAGAAACUAUUAUUAUACAAAUUUCAAAUCUCCUCUGAAAAAGUCUCAUCAGUAGAAAUGGAACUUCACAAGUUUUACUUUACAUUAUCAGACGGCCAGAUACACAAAUAUAUAUUUAUUUAUUAGAUGGAGCACUCUCAGGAAUUUUAAUGAAGUGCAAGAGUUUAUAUUUUGAAAUCAAACUGCAACAGUAUAGGAUAAUAAUUUUCUCUUAAGAAUAAAUGAUGUCAUGGAAAAGUUUUCAGUGAUGACAAUUCAUUCCCUUCAGAGUGUCUGAAAUGAUACUGUAUCAGUAUAACAUCACUGAUGGAAGUUUAAUGACGCUUUUAGAAAAACAGUUGUGUAAAGAAGCACGUGAUCACUGUCCCCUCAAUUUCCGGUCUUCGUAUCAUCUGUAAAAAAGAAAGAAUCAUAUGCUGAACUGCUGAAAGCACAACGUUAUUCAUAAGAGGAAGAAGCAACAUGCUUGUGAUACAACAUCUACUUAAAACUUCAUAUAGCCAAAAA